GUUGGUUAAGCAGAGACAGAGCUCUUAGAGAGUGAAGAUUCAUUUGAUUUUUUCCAGGCAUAUUCUUGGAAACCCCACUGUGCUUGGAAGUUGUACUUUGUGAAAUGUACACAGGAAUUCACCUUGCCAGAAACUCUGUGAGGGCUCACUUUGAUCAUUUUAAAGAGUUAUGGGAGACAGAAUGUGAUUACAACAGUGGUUAUUUCAGUAGAAAAUAUUCAGGAAGCACGUGCUUGUUACCUUUUUUUUUUUUUUUUUAGCCUAAUCAUGAGAUUAACUUACUCUGAAUAUCAGCAAGAAUCAGCUCACCUAUUAGCUACACCAUGCAAACGGAAAUGUCCACAUCAACUUGAAAGAAAAGGGAGUAAAACAAUAUAAAGAAAAUAACUUUUAGGCCUUUAAUUGAUAAUCAUUCCCCCCUACUCUCUGCCAUCCAAAUGUUUUUACUUGGAAAAAUCCAAGGCAAUAUGCUAAUAAUGUAGCCGCCCCUUACCCCUCAUCAUCCUAAAAUAGUAUGAGUCACUCAGUGGGAGAUAUUUCUAAUUUCUGCUAUUGAAAUUAUUGAAAUUUCUGCCUUUUAAGAGAAUGGUGACCUCUAAAUGAUAAGUCAUCUGGUUGAGAAAUGGUGUAAUGAGGCCCUUCAAUUUUUUUUUUCUCACUACACAAGUGAAAUCUAUGAAUUACAGAAAACUUAAAAAUACAAAUACACAGAAAGAAAGAAAAAAGUUUCCAGUAAUCCUAACAGUCUAAAAACAACUACCAUUAACAAUUCAUAUAAAGAUAGUCAUGUAAAGACAUGCAUGUAAAAGUAAAGCAUACAAUUUAUUUUUACAAACGAGGACAAAAUACAUGUUUUUGUACCCUCCCCAUUUAACAAUACAUCAUGGGAGAUUCCUGAACAAGAUAGCGGAGUAAAAGGAUUUGGCCUAACCUCCUUUCAUGAAAACACCAAAAUCACAACUCCUGAAUAACCAUUGACAAAAAAGACUUGAACCUACCAAAAAUGAUAGUCUAUACCCAAAGACAAAGAAAAAGCCAAAAUGAGAUGGGAAGAGGCAAUACAAGCAAAUUCCA
ensembl:lncRNA